rnacentral:rRNA from 1 species
GACGAACGCUGGCGGCGUGCCUAACACAUGCAAGUCGAACGGAACUGUUUUGAAAGAUUUCUUCGGAAUGAAUUUGAUUUAGUUUAGUGGCGGACGGGUGAGUAACGCGUGAGUAACCUGCCUUCAAGAGGGGGGAUAAACAUUCUGAAAAGAAUGCUAAUACCGCAUGACAUAUCGGAACCACAUGGUUUUGAUAUCAAAGAUUUUAUCGCUUGAAGAUGGACUCGCGUCCGAUUAGUUAGUUGGUGAGGUAACGGCUCACCAAGGCGACGAUUGGUAGCCGGACUGAGAGGUUGAACGGCCACAUUGGGACUGAGACACGGCCCAGACUCCUACGGGAGGCAGCAGUGGGGGAUAUUGCACAAUGGGGGAAACCCUGAUGCAGCGACGCCGCGUGGAGGAAGAAGGUUUUCGGAUUGUAAACUCCUGUCGUUAGGGACGAUAAUGACGGUACCUAACAAGAAAGCACCGGCUAACUACGUGCCAGCAGCCGCGGU